GACGAACGCUGGCGGCGUGCUUAACACAUGCAAGUCGAACGGAAAUUCCCUGCUUUUGUGGUGUGCUCGAUUGGCGAACGCGUGAGUAACACGUGAGUAACCUGCCCUUGCCUUUGGGAUAACUUCAGGAAACUGGGGCUCUUACCGCAUAUGAGCUCCUGCUUCAUGGUGGGGGUUGGAAAGUUUCGGCGGUUGGGGAUGGACUCGCGGCUUCUCGGCUUGUUGUUGGGGUAGGGGCUUAUAAAGGCUUUGCCGGGUAGCCGGCCUGAGAGGGUGACCGGCCACAGUGGGACUGAGAAAGGGGCAAGAGUGAAACGGGAGGAAGCGGCGGGGAAUAGUGCAAGAAGGGCGGAGGCAGGAUGGAGGAACGUCGCGUGGGGGAUGACGGUCGUCGGGGAGUAAAAAGCAUUCGCCGGUGACGAAGCGUGAGUGACGGUAAUGGGUAAAGAAGCACCGGCUAACUACGUG
rnacentral:rRNA from 1 species